rnacentral:rRNA from 1 species
GAUGAACGCUAGCAGUAUGCCUUAUACAUGCAUGUCGAACGAAGUGCUUUAUGCACUUAGUGGCAAAUGGGUGAGUAACACGUACUUAACCUACCUUUUAGAUUGGAAUAACCAUGAGAAAUCGUGGAUAAUACCGAAUAUGAUUUAUUUCGCAUGAAAUUAUUUUGAAAGAAGCGUUUGCUUCGCUAAAAAGAUGGGGGUGCGCGACAUUAGUUGUGGUAGGUAAAGCUACAGACUAUGAUGUCUAGCCGAGCUGAGAGGCUGACCGGCCACAUUGGGACUGAGAUACGGCCCAGACCGCUACGGUGGGCAGCAGUAGGGAAUUUUUCACAAUGAACGAAAGUUUGAUGGAGCAAUACUGUGUGCAGGAAGAAGGUCUUCGGAUUGUAAACUGCUGUCGUAAGGAAAGAAAGCUUUUAGAGGAAAUGCUAAAAGUUUGACGGUACUUUAUAAG